UAACGACUUCGCAUGGAGAUGUUAUUAAAGAUUUAUCGGUGAAAGAUGAGCAUGCGUCCCAUUAGCUAGAUGGUAAGGUAACGGCUUACCAUGGCUACGAUGGGUAGGGGUCCUGAGAGGGAGAUCCCCCACACUGGUACUGAGACACGGACCAGACUCCUACGGGAGGCAGCAGUGAGGAAUAUUGGUCAAUGGGCGCAAGCCUGAACCAGCCAUGCCGCGUGCAGGAUGACGGUCCUAUGGAUUGUAAACUGCUUUUGUACAGGAAGAAACACUCGGACGUGUCCGAGCUUGACGGUACUGUAAGAAUAAGGAUCGGCUAACUCCGUGCCAGCAGCCGCGGUAAUACGGAGGAUCCAAGCGUUAUCCGGAAUCAUUGGGUUUAAAGGGUCCGUAGGCGGCUUAAUAAGUCAGUGGUGAAAGCCCUACGCUUAACGUAGGAACGGCCAUUGAUACUGUUAGGCUUGAAUUAUUAGGAAGUAACUAGAAUAUGUAGUGUAGCGGUGAAAUGCUUAGAGAUUACAUGGAAUACCAAUUGCGAAGGCAGGUUACUACUAAUGGAUUGACGCUGAUGGACGAAAGCGUGGGUAGCGAACAGGAUUAGAUACCCUGGUAGUCCACGCCGUAAACGAUGGAUACUAGCUGUUGGGAGCAAUUUCAGUGGCUAAGCGAAAGUGAUAAGUAUCCCACCUGGGGAGUAC
rnacentral:rRNA from 1 species